AGUGAACGCUGGCGGCGUGCUUAACACAUGCAAGUCGAACGCAUGAAGCUCUAGCUUGCUAGAGUGGAUUAGUGGCGCACGGGUGAGUAAUGUAUAGCUAAUGUGCCCCUUAGAGGGGGAUAACAGUUGGAAACGACUGCUAAUACCCCAUACUCCUUCUUCCUAUAAGGGAAGUUGGGAAAGUUUUUUCGCUAAGGGAUCGGGCUAUAUGGUAUCAGCUUGUUGGUGAGGUAAUGGCUCACCAAGGCUAUGACGCCUAUCUGGUCUGAGAGGAUGAUCAGACACACUGGAACUGAGACACGGUCCAGACUCCUACGGGAGGCAGCAGUGGGGAAUAUUACACAAUGGAGGAAACUCUGAUGUAGCAACGCCGCGUGGAGGAUGACACAUUUCGGUGCGUAAACUCCUUUUAUAUGGGAAGAUAAUGACGGUACCAUAUGAAUAAGCACCGGCUAACUCCGUGC
rnacentral:rRNA from 1 species